rnacentral:rRNA from 1 species
CAGCUUGACACUGCUACUUGGAUAAGAAUGUGCAGGAUAGGUGGGAGGCUUUGAGUAUAUGACGCCAGUUGUAUAUGAGCCAUUGUUGAGAUACCACUCUUUCUUAUUUGGGUAGCUAACCAGCUUGAGUUAUCCUCAAGUGGGACAAUGUCUGGUGGGUAGUUUGACUGGGGCGGUCGCCUCCCAAAUAAUAACGGAGGCUUACAAAGGUUGGCUCAGAACGGUUGGAAAUCGUUCGUAGAGUAUAAAGGUAUAAGCCAGCUUAACUGCAAGACAUACAAGUCAAGCAGAGACGAAAGUCGGUCUUAGUGAUCCGGUGGUUCUGUGUGGAAGGGCCAUCGCUCAAAGGAUAAAAGGUACCCCGGGGAUAACAGGCUGAUCUCCCCCAAGAGCUCACAUCGACGGGGAGGUUUGGCACCUCGAUGU